rnacentral:rRNA from 1 species
AGAGUUUGAUCCUGGCUCAGGAUGAACGCCGUUGGCGUGCUUAACACAUGCAAGUCGAACGGGCUCAUAUUGAAACCUAGUGAUUUAUGAGUUAGUGGCGGACGGGUGAGUAACGCGUGGAAAACCUGCCGUAUACUGGGGGAUAACACUUAGAAAUAGGUGCUAAUACCGCAUAAGCGCACAGCUUCGCAUGAAGUGGUGUGAAAAACUCUGGUGGUAUACGAUGGUUCCGCGUCUGAUUAGCUUGUUGGUGGGGUAAUGGCUCACCAAGGCGACGAUCAGUAGCCGGCCUGAGAGGGUGAACGGCCACAUUGGGACUGAGACACGGCCCAAACUCCUACGGGAGGCAGCAGUGGGGAAUAUUGCACAAUGGGGGAAACCCUGAUGCAGCGACGCCGCGUGGGUGAAGAAGUAUUUCGGUAUGUAAAGCUCUAUCAGCAGGGAAGAAAUAGCGACCUUUGGGUCGCCAGACGGUACCUGAUUAAGAAGCCCCGGCUAACUACGUGCCAGCAGCCGCGGUAAUACGUAGGGGGCAAGCGUUAUCCGGAUUUACUGGGUGUAAAGGGAGCGUAGACGGCAGCACAAGUCUGAAGUGAAAUGCCGGGGCUUAACCCCGGAACUGCUUUGGAAACUGUGCAGCUAGAGUGCAGGAGAGGUAAGUGGAAUUCCUAGUGUAGCGGUGAAAUGCGUAGAUAUUAGGAGGAACACCAGUGGCGAAGGCGGCUUACUGGACUGUAACUGACGUUGAGGCUCGAAAGCGUGGGGAGCAAACAGGAUUAGAUACCCUGGUAGUCCACGCUGUAAACGAUGAUUACUAGGUGUUGGGGGGACCA